GUUGAUUUUUGACAUCAAACUCCAGCCAGCUUCAAACUCCAUCAAAGUUCAGUCCAGCUGUACCCUAUUGAGUAUGAACGGUCUUACUCAGUAGUACCCAAACUGGACAAGGUCCCUGUAAAGAGAAGACCAAAUUACAGUCUCACCCAUGUAUGAAUUCAUUUAGUCACCAUAUAACUUCAAAAUUCCAUCUUGUGGAUGAAGAGAAGAUAAAGCAGAAUAAAUGAGUUCAAAAGACUGUGGAAUAUCCUCUGGAACUGGAAUUACUGACAGUUGUUAGUCACGGUGGAUGUACUAGAAAUUAAACCCUGGACCGCUGGAAGAAUAACCAUUGCUCUUAAGCACCGAUCCAUGCCUCCAGACCCCAGAAGCUGGCUUUUGAACGCCCAUAAGGAUGCCUUCCAUGAUACCAGAACAUUGUAAAGAGUCAGCAAGAAAAGGGUCUGAACAGUGUAGGGAUCUGGCUUCUUCAUGGGUGUUCCUAGAGCAUGUCUACAACAGAGGGAUUGCUUGAAAAACCUGAUGGGACCCAUUGUCACAACAGUCUGGAAAUGAAGAGAUUAGUGCUGAGAAGGAAUCUGGCUGUCUACAGUGGAAAAGACCUUCGAGUUGACUGUGAGUGGGUGCGACUCAUCAAGAAAAAUAACCUCACUACCACAACAACACAUGAUGGGAGAGACCGAAACUUCUUUGGGAGAACAUAAGGGAAAAAAAAAGAAAAAGUGAAGUCUAAGUAUUAUUAAACACAUGAAAGCAGAGUCAUUUACUUAAUAGGAAGGAGCUCAUUCACACACAUGUAGACUUGUGGUCCCUUAGAAGUACGUAAACACGACCCGUCAGUCCACCACAGUCAACAUCAGAAUUUCUUGGGAAAUGCCUCAUUAAAGAGUUUUUAAAGAAUAAUAUGACUAUGUACCUGUCAAAUAAUUUUCCAAAAGUCAUUAAAGAUGAGUUACUCUGCUC